rnacentral:rRNA from 1 species
GACAGAGGGGGCAAGCGUUGUCCGGAGUUCCUGGGCGUAAAGCACACGCAGGCGGCUGGGCGCGUGUGGGGUGAAAGCCGCGAGCUUAACUCGCGGUCGCCCCCGCAUACGGCUCGGCUCGAGCCCGGGAGAGGUCCCUCGAAUUGCCGGUGUAGUGGUGAAAUGCGUAGAGAUCGGCAGGAAGACCAAGGGGGAAGCCAGGGGACUGGCCCGCGGCUGACGCUCAGGUGCGAGAGCGUGGGGAGCGAACCGG